rnacentral:rRNA from 1 species
GUAGGUGGCAAGCGUUGUCCGGAAUUAUUGGGCGUAAAGCGCGCGCAGGUGGGUUCUUUAAGUCUGAUGUGGGAAGACCCCCCGGGCUCAACCGGGGAGGGUCAUUGGAAACUGGGGAACUUGAGUGCAGGAGAGGAAAGUGGAAUUCCACGUGUAGCGGUGAAAUGCGUAGAUAUGUGGAGGAACACCAGUGGCGAAGGCGACUUUCUGGCCUGUAACUGACACUGAGGCGCGAAAGCGUGGGGAGCAAACAGGAUUAGAUACCCUGGUAGUCCACGCCGUAAACGAUGAGUGCUAAGUGUUGGGGGGUUUCCGCCCCUCAGUGCUGCAGCUAACGCAUUAAGCACUCCGCCUGGGGAGUACGGUCGCAAGACUG